GGAUCGGGCCGCUUUCUUUUUGUAUUGAGGUAGACUAAGUAAAGUGCUUGUACUGGAUCGGAGGUUAUAGAAAGUGGGAACAGCUGGGGGAAGCAUUUUGUUCAGGUAGGGUGUGAGUUUACCAGAAAAGCUCUUAAAAACAAGGCUGGAAAGAUGAAGGGUGCGUCUGGAUUCCAGCGACAGCCAGUUUAGUUCCUUUAGCAUGUCACAAUGAUGGGUCCUGUAAUUACAUUGUAGCACAAAUCUGCAGAAC